CUUUCCUCAAAAGGGACAUUUCCUAGCAGAACAGAGGUGGCAGUCAUCAGAUUUGCAAGUGAGACUCUCUUACAGGGGACAAACUCCAACAACUCCUGGGCCACUGGCAUUUCCUUUAACCAUUACACAUGGAACUUUCAACCCUUUUGCUAAUAUUUGACCACCAGAAAACACCAAAAUUCGACCUCAUUGGGAAGUUACAGGGACAAUUCCAGAUAGGACUGGGUUUAAAGUCAUAUCUUUGGGCUAUGAAAACCAUGCAUUUUCUUAAAUAUUUUUGCUCUCUCUGAAGUCUUUCAUUAAGAACAUUAAGAGACUGAAGACUAAAUAAAGUAUCAUUUUAUUUAACUCAUUGACUCCCUUUUUUCAACCCACUCUUCAUGAGUAUUCACCCCGUAUAAAGUUCUGAAUGGAUGGGGACAGCAUUUACCCAGACAAUUCAGAAUUAAUAGAAAAAAGGAUGCCAAUGAAUAGAAAAAGGAGUCAGACUGGUGACGAUGAAAAAUGCCAACCUUGGGACCUGAGAAAGCUGGGCAAAGGAUGGCACAGGGAGAGGGACAGGGCCUCACAGCCCUUCUCUUAAGUGAAUUGACCCUCCAAAUCUGCAAGCCUGCCUUUUGGGAGAGCAGCUACCCUCACCUCAUGCAAGAGUGGGCAGUGGUCUGAUUCCGGGGACAUCAUCCACUGGAUUACUGGUGGCUUCCAGAACAGCAAUUUUAUCCUGAAACCCAGGAGUACAUGAGACACAGCAGAAAGACAUCUGGCUUCUCAAGAGCCCAGGAAACUGGAAAUCCAUAUGGACUUGAACUAGAUCAGAUACAGAAGCAAAGAAAAUGACGAGCAGGUGAGAGGCUCAGCACCAUCUCCAUGUCCGUCUGCCAGAGCCCAGCCCAGCCCAGCCCAGCAUGACUGUCCCCUAACCCCUCAGCCUUCCUGCAGACAUCCCACAGCACAAACGUCCCCCCUCUGGCCGGAGCAGCACUGCCCCAUCCGUUGAUGAGAGGCCCCCGUCGCUCUCUGUCACACAGGUGCUGUGGCCUCCUGCACAUCCACCUCCUGAGGACAGUCUUUGCCACACACUGCCCAGGUUCAGGGGAUCGAAAUCCAUUUGCCCAGGCUAAAAAGCCCAGGAUAGGCCAGCAUGUCCCGGGGCUGCCUUUGUCAGUGCUACACACUGUCACCAACCCGCAUGGCUCCUUGCUACCUCCCCAGGGCAGCCCUUUGUACCAUGGGUGUGGAAGUGAGUUUUAUGUGGCAAUGAUGAAGGGGGAGUGAUUAUGGUUUGGAUAUUAGGUGUCCCCCGAAAGCUCAGUGUGAGACUGCAGUAGGCUUAGCAGGGAAAUGAUGGGGUUAUGAGAGCCUUAACCCAAUUAGUGAAGAAAUCCCCUGAUGGGGGCUGACUGAGUGGUAACUGAAGGCACAUGGGGUGUGGCUGGAGGAGGGGGCCCAUGGGGGUGUGCCUCUGGGGCUUAAAUUGUGUAUCUGGCAAGUGGAGUCUAUCUCUCUGCUUUCUGAUCAUCAUGUGAGCUGCUUCCCUCCACCACACUCUUCCUCCAUGAUGUUCAGCCUCACCUUGAGCCCUGAGGAACAGAGCCUGCUGUCUAGGGACUGAGACCUCUGAAACCAUGAGCCCCUAAAUAAACUUUUCCUCCUCUACAA